rnacentral:rRNA from 1 species
GACGAACCGUGCGAACGUUGUUCGGAAUCACUGGGCUUAAAGGGCGCGUAGGCGGGUUCGCAAGUCUGUGGUGAAAGCCUCCAGCUUAACUGGAGAAGUGCCGUGGAUACUGCGAAUCUUGAGGAGGGUAGGGGCGUCUGGAACGGUCGGUGGAGCGGUGAAAUGCGUUGAUAUCGACCGGAACUCCGGUGGCGAAGGCGAGGCGCUGGGCCCCUUCUGACGCUGAGGCGCGAAAGCCAGGGGAGCGAACGGG